AGAGUUUGAUCCUGGCUCAGAACGAACGCUGGCGGCAGUAACACAUGCAAGUCGAACGCUCCGCAAGGAGAGUGGCAGACGGGUGAGUAACGCGUGGGAAUCUACCCAACCCUGCGGAAUAGCUCCGGGAAACUGGAAUUAAUACCGCAUACGCCCUUCGGGGGAAAGAUUUAUCGGGGAUGGAUGAGCCCGCGUUGGAUUAGCUAGUUGGUGGGGUAAAGGCCUACCAAGGCGACGAUCCAUAGCUGGUCUGAGAGGAUGAUCAGCCACAUUGGGACUGAGACACGGCCCAAACUCCUACGGGAGGCAGCAGUGGGGAAUAUUGGACAAUGGGCGCAAGCCUGAUCCAGCCAUGCCGCGUGAGUGAUGAAGGUCUUAGGAUUGUAAAGCUCUUUCAGUAGGGAAGAUAAUGACGGUACCUACAGAAGAAGCCCCGGCUAACUUCGUGCCAGCAGCCGCGGUAAUACGAAGGGGGCUAGCGUUGUUCGGAAUUACUGGGCGUAAAGCGCACGUAGGCGGAUAUUUAAGUCAGGGGUGAAAUCCCAGAGCUCAACUCUGGAACUGCCUUUGAUACUGGGUAUCUUGAGUAUGGAAGAGGUAAGUGGAAUUGCGAGUGUAGAGGUGAAAUUCGUAGAUAUUCGCAGGAACACCAGUGGCGAAGGCGGCUUACUGGUCCAUAACUGACGCUGAGGUGCGAAAGCGUGGGGAGCAAACAGGAUUAGAUACCCUAGUAGUCC
rnacentral:rRNA from 1 species